GAACGACUCUCGGCAACGGAUAUCUCGGCUCUUGCAUCUAUGAAGAACGUAGCGAAAUGCGAUACUUGGUGUGAAUUGCAGAAUCCCGUGAACCAUCGAGUCUUUGAACGCAAGUUGCGCCUGAAGCCAUUAGGUUGAAGGCACGUCUGCCUGGGCGUCACGCAU
rnacentral:rRNA from 1 species